AACGUAGGAGACAAACGUUAUCCGGAGUUACUGGGCGUAAAGGGCGUGUAGGUGGUUCGUAAGUCUGGCGUGAAAUUUUUCGGCUUAACCGGGAAAGGUCGUCGGAUACUGCGGAGCUAGAGGACGGUAGAGGCGUGUGGAAUUCCGGGUGUAGUGGUGAAAUGGCGUAGAGAUCCGGAGGAACACCAGUGGCGAAGGCGACACGCUGGGCCGUACCUGACACUGAUGCGCGACAGCAUGGGGAGCAAACAGG
rnacentral:rRNA from 1 species